GGAUGUGAGGGCAAUCUGGCUGCGACAUCUGUCACCCCAUUGAUCACCAGGGUUGAUUUGGCUGAUCUGGCUGGCUAAGCAGGUGUCCCCCUCCUCCCUCACCAACCUAUGUGAGUCCCUCCCACAGCUGUAUCCUAGGUCAAAGAGGACAAACUGCCCCCCAGAGGAGGGACACAGUCUUCCAUCAAGGGUAUAAGAGUAACUGCGCUCCCCUCCUAGAAUCUCCAAACAAGUUCUCAAAAAUCCCAUGUAGUCGUGUGAAUCAAAUAGGAUAAUAAAUGCAUAACCUCUUUGAAAAUUCUAAAG
rnacentral:snRNA from 1 species